rnacentral:lncRNA from 1 species
AGAAAGCCCAAUUCCAUCUGGCCCCUGCAGGUUGGCUCAGCACUGGGGAAUCAGAGUCCCCUCCAUGACCAAGGCACCACUCCACUGACAGGUAUGGUAUCCAUUUGCCCUCUCUUCUUGGAUUCUCAAGCUGGGGCAGAGUCCAUGGCAGCCAAGGGUGGCUUGGAUCUGCCCAUCCCAUUCUCUUCAGACCCUCCUCAGGGAUUAAGGUCAAAGGUGGGAGGAAGAAGGCUUCCAUUGGCCUUUUAUCCUAGAGGUUCUAAUGGAGGGGAAAAGGGGAUAGGAUAUUUUCUAUCCAAUCAGGAUGUUUAGGAGAUAGUCACAUGGAAGUGGAAUGGCCUUUGGACCCAGGAGUCAGGAAACCUGAGUAGCAGUCCUGGUUUUACCAUUUACCCAAUGUGUAUCUUUGGGUAAGUCCUUUCUCCAAUCUAGGACACAGUUUUUUCACCCCUUUUGCAAAAUAAAAAAGUAAAAAGAGGAAAAGAAUGAUUAGAUAGAUGCUGUCUAGAGACCCAUGGUUAUUAGAUUCCUAAUUUUCAUGAUUGUCAGCCCUCUGUCAAGAAAGAAGAUGAGAGUAAUCUUUGCAUAUGUAACUGUGGGUGGGGCUGAACACAUUCAAGAGGAGAGUGCUGGUGGUAAUCCAUAUAGCACUCUCUGAGAGGCAUGACUCAAAGAUGAAAGCCUCUUUUCUAGUCCAAUCUUUGACUCCUAGAGAUUCAAAAUUGAAAGACUCUUAGAGACUAGGUACAUAUGGAAGAAACUGAGGUCCAGAAAGAGGAAGAAAGGGACUUGCCCAAAGUCCUGCUCAUACUAGAGGCAGUCUGGGAUUUUUAGGCAUGGUCC